rnacentral:tRNA from 1 species
GCAUUGAUGGCUCAGGGGUAAAAUUCUCGUUUUCCAUGCAGGAGAUCUGGGUUCGAUUCUCGGUCGAUGCA